UGAAGAUGUCUGUAGAUAAAUUCAGAAAAGUUUAAUAAUUUCAUUAGGAAACUAACGGAAAAGGGAAUUUUUUAAAAUUUAAUGUUGGAAGGUAUGGCUAAGGAAGAGAAGGAGGGAGACAGGGUAGGCUGUUUUCAUGGUGCCAGAUCUGAAAGCACAUUUUAAGUCUGAGACUGGGAGAGGGACAGGAAAGUUUCAUAAUACAUGCUGAAGCUAAUGAGUUAAUUAGGAACAACUGAGUUAUUUUUGUUAACCACUGCAAGCCUCAUAAUUUUUAAACUCUGAAGUACUAGCAACUGUUGGCUGGUAUCUGGAAGAGUACUUUGUACCUGAACAGAUAAGAGAACAUUACUUUUCCAAAGUCCAGUUUGUGAUACUGACCAAGCAAAACUGAACCCCCAAACAGUCUUAAUGGAGCCUAUAUGUCCAUAUGGUGUUCUGCUGCUUUUCCUCAUCAAGUGGUAAAUAAGCUUCAAGGAGGGUGCCAUUUCUCUCCUCUGAGCUGCAUAUUGCAGACCUACAGAUCCAAGUUCGUUCUGGGAAGCUUGCUGUAUUAAAAUCAAGUCAUAUUCCAGGCCAGACAGCACCUCCAUCAGCUGUUGAGGGGCUUCUUCUAAAGAAUGGCUGGUCUCUGAUCACUUCCUUCAGGAUCUGCUGCAAGUGUCUCUUCUCUGGAGCUGUCUUCACAACUUCUUCAAAAGGGAAUGUCCCACAUGGGGAUUUAGUUUCAUACUUGGUGUUGCCCAACACUGAAUCAGUGGGUAAUAAAGAAGUGGAUGACUUUCUUUUCCAAUCUGCAGAACACAAGUCUCUAAAAAAUACUACAUUUCUCUAUUUUUGUUUUAAUUUUGACAAACAUAUACACAUAGAUACCCUCCUGACUACGGCCUAAAAUUAAGGAGAUACAUAUAUCUGAAGGUUAUUAGGAUUAUACAUCAUGCAGCACAGGACACUAGUGCCACAUCCUUCACUUAAAUUACCAUAUGACCAAAUUUCAAUCUAAGAACACCCAUUUUCAAAUUUAUUUGCAUAACUUAAAUUAUUUUGGUGUAAUCAGACACUGAGAGUUUGCUGGAUAUACACCAAAUAAAGCCAACCUUUAUCCUAGUGCCA
rnacentral:lncRNA from 1 species